rnacentral:rRNA from 1 species
GACGAACGCUGGCGGCGUGCUUAACACAUGCAAGUCGAGCGGUAAGGUCUUUCGGGGUACACGAGCGGCGAACGGGUGAGUAACACGUGGGUGACCUGCCUUUAGCUUCGGGAUAAGCCUGGGAAACCGGGUCUAAUACCGGAUAUGACCUCAUGUCGCAUGGUGUGGGGUGGAAAGUUCUUCGGCUAGAGAUGGGCCUGCGGCCUAUCAGCUUGUUGGU